rnacentral:sRNA from 1 species
GCUGGGCAUGGUGGCACAUGCCUGUAAUCCCAACAGCUUGGAGGCUGAGGCAAGAGGAUAGCAAGUUCAAAACCAGCCUCAGCAAAAGCAAGGCAUUAAGCAACUCAGUGAUACUCUGUCUCUA